UACGUAGGGGGCGAGCGUUGUCCGGAAUUAUUGGGCGUAAAGGGUUCGUAGGCGGUCUUUUAAGUCAGAUGUGAAAGGUCACGGCUCAACCGUGGUAAGCAUUUGAAACUGAAGGACUUGAGUUAAGGAGAGGAAAGUGGAAUUCCUAGUGUAGCGGUGAAAUGCGUAGAUAUUAGGAGGAAUACCAGUGGCGAAGGCGACUUUCUGGACUUAUACUGACGCUGAGGAACGAAAGCGUGGGGAGCAAACAGG
rnacentral:rRNA from 1 species